GAAAAAAAGAAAGAGAGAAGCUUUAACCCUGAGCAAACACUACUCUGAACAGUGAAAAGGUAGGAAUUUAUAUAAAUUUGAUUGAGCAUAGUAAAAUUUAGUGGGUUCAUGAUGUGUUGCAUGGCACUUGAAACAUCAAUCAGCUUUUCAGAGGAGACCAGGAAAUAAGAUCAGAGCAAUUAUAAAAAAUUUCACCCCAAUUCUAGGCCAAAAAAAACAAAACAGAAGCAUAUUACUAAAUUCUUUAUAUAAUAUUAGGUUCUUUUGUAAUUAGAUUUAAUGUUCCUAGCUUGAGGGUUGCCA
rnacentral:misc_RNA from 1 species